UACAGAGGUCUCAAGCGUUGUUCGGAUUCAUUGGGCGUAAAGGGUGCGUAGGCGGCGCGGUAAGUCGGGUGUGAAAUCUCGGAGCUUAACUCCGAAACUGCAUUCGAUACUGCCGUGCUUGAGGACUGGAGAGGAGACUGGAAUUUACGGUGUAGCGGUGAAAUGCGUAGAUAUCGUAAGGAAGACCAGUGGCGAAGGCGGGUCUCUGGACAGUUCCUGACGCUGAAAAGCGAAAGCCAGGGGAGCAAACGGG
rnacentral:rRNA from 1 species